rnacentral:rRNA from 1 species
UACGGGAGGGGCGAGCGUUAUCCGGCGUAACUGGGCGUAAAGAGUUCGUAGACUGUAAAAUAAGUUAUUUGUUAAAUUUUAAAGCCUAACUUUAUAUUAGCUUUUAAUACUAUUUUACUAGAGUUUUAUACAGAAGAGUAGAAUUUUAUAUGUAAGGGUGAAAUCUAUUAAUAUAUGAAGGAAUACUAGUAGCGAAGGCGACUCUUUGGUAAAAACUGACGUUGAGGAACGAAAGUGUGGGUAGCAAACAGG